rnacentral:lncRNA from 1 species
UCCUACUGAUACACUUCUAAAAUGAGAAGAAUACAAACAAACAAAUGAAUCUUAUGCUACUGCCAUGUUACAACUUGAAGUUGUUAUCUCAAGGUGCUUUGAGCCCCAAGUGCUUGAGAGUUCCGACUACUAUAUUAGCACGUACACACACGGUCUUGUUGAUUUGGCCCUCUUUAGCUCCAAAAUGGUGGCAUGUUGAUUUGGCUCUGAUUGAGAUAAGGAGAACCUAAUAUUGAACUGUAGUAAUCCUGGUCUGAAAUAUCAGCAACUGAUGUGGUAGGUCCAAUUGCUGCCAAAGCACCCUGGAACUCAUCCAGAUUCAAGUCCGUGAACCAAUCAUCAGCCUCUUCUUUCAUUCCUUCCACAAUUUGAAAGUUGCUACUAACAGUGGCGGCUCUCCCGUGAUGAAGUCCUACAGAAGCCUGAGAUGGGUUGCUUCCGGGUUGACACGGAUCGCCGAAUUCGAGCGACGC